GUAUAAUGGGUCAGCGACUUAUAUUCUGUAGCAAGGUUAACCGAAUAGGGGAGCCGGAGGGAAACCGAGUCUUAAUUGGGCGUUAAGUUGCAGGGUAUAGACCCGAAACCCGGUGAUCUAGCCAUGGGCAGGUUGAAGGUUGGGUAACACUAACUGGAGGACCGAACCGACUAAUGUUGAAAAAUUAGCGGAUGACCUGUGGCUGGGGGUGAAAGGCCAAUCAAACCGGGAGAUAGCUGGUUCUCCCCGAAAGCUAUUUAGGUAGCGCCUCGUGAAUUCAUCUCCGGGGGUAGAGCACUGUUUCGGCUAGGGGGCCAUCCCGGCUUACCAACCCGAUGCAAACUGCGAAUACCGGAGAAUGUUAUCACGGGAGACACACGGCGGGUGCUAACGUCCGUCGUGAAGAGGGAAACAACCCAGACCGCCAGCUAAGGUCCCAAAGUCAUGGUUAAGUGGGAAACGAUGUGGGAAGGCCCAGACAGCCAGGAUGUUGGCUUAGAAGCAGCCAUCAUUUAAAGAAAGCGUAAUAGCUCACUGGUCGAGUCGGCCUGCGCGGAAGAUGUAACGGGGCUAAACCAU
rnacentral:rRNA from 2 species